rnacentral:rRNA from 1 species
CCUACGGGCGGCAGCAGUGAGGAAUAUUGGUCAAUGGGCGCUAGCCUGAACCAGCCAAGUAGCGUGAAGGAUGACUGCCCUAUGGGUUGUAAACUUCUUUUAUAUGGGAGUAAAGUGCGGUAUGUAUACUGCUUUGCAUGUACCUUAUGAAUAAGGAUCGGCUAACUCCGUUCCAGCCGCCGCGGUAAUACGGAGGAUCCGAGCGUUAUCCGGGUUUAUUGGGUUUAAAGGGGGCGUAGGCGGGUUGUUAAGUCAGUUGUGAAAGUUUGCGGCGCAACCGUAAAAUUGCAGUUGAUACUGGCGUCCUUGAGUACAGUAGAGGUAGGCGGAAUUCGUGGUGUAGCGGUGAAAUGCUUAGAUAUCACGAAGAACUCCGAUUGCGAAGGCAGCCUGCUGGACUGUAACUGACGCUGAUGCUCGAAAGUGUGGGUAUCAAACAGGAUUAGAUACCCGUGUAGUC